CAACUCCUCCGCUAUGGAUGUGGACAACUAGAAUUCGGAAUCCGAUGAUCAGAUUAAUAGCCCUAGGUUCUCUAUCAAUGUUUUGCAGCUCUUGAAAUCCGCUCAGAUGCAGCAUGGAUUGCUGUUUGGCGAUUACGCUCGUUACCGGAGGUACUGUACUGCUCGGCUCAGGAGAU